CCGACUGGCGCGGCACCGGCGCAGGCGGCGGCCGCGGACCAAAUGAACUGCCAAGGACUGACUGAGAGGAGCACAUGUCUGGUGGCGGACAGCGGCGGCGGCUGCGCCUGCCCCACUCGCUCCGUCUCGCUCCCACCUAUUCAAUCGGACGAGACGGAAGGCGGCAGUGCGUCGCACUCCACCACGCCCGUAGGUAGCAGACCUUAGCAACCGUUGCCAUCUCAACCGAAUGUCUUUUCGCGGAACGGGUGGGGGAAGUGUCUAGAAAUUAUCAAACAUACGCUGUACCCUUUCGUCAAUCGUAAAUAAUAAUAACAAUAAUAAUAAAACUCGAAACGGCGAGGACGGCGAGACGGUCAAUAAAACCGAAAAAAAACGACACUCGUCGCCGAUCGAAAAACUAUCGUCGAUAAACACAAUUGCAGUGCGACUAAUUUACUGCUCGGCAUUGAGGAAGCGCCAAUCAAAACUAUACUUAGGGUACGGUAGACUUAGAAAGAAUGUUUACACAAGCAUAAAGAAGACAGGAAAACAAGUACAACCGAGAAUAAUGAAAGCAUAUGUUGAAUAAUGAUCGUUUGAAGUCCAUUUAGUUACACUUAAGGGUCAGACACAGUUCAGCAGUUUCAGCACUGCAGAGGCAGGAAACCUGGAAUUACGUAAUUUUAUUUACCUAAAAUAAGAACGGAAAGUGCCUUUUUCCUGAAUGAACCUGCAGAUUUCAGGAUGACGUGGAAGAUUCUAUUGCAUAUUAGGCGCUCAGACUAUUUAAAGUAAAAAUUUUUGCUUCGUUUAUUUAUUAAAUGUAUAAAUAUAAAAGUUACGUUAACUACUGGAAACUUUUGUCUUAACAAAACAAACAAAGCAAAAUUGGAAAUUACUCAUGAUAAAUAAUACAAAAAAUACACUUCAUUAAAGAAGGGGCAAAGGUGAAGAACACAGUGAAAUCUUUCACACAAAGGGGCGGGUAUUCAGUGCUGAAAUUGACAUUGAUAGUUCACGAAAACGUUGAUAAUAUUAUGUUCCUCAAAGAAUCUCUUGUUUGUUAAAUAAAUGGAUGCGGCACAAACCCAAACACUCAGGCCGGCGUCUGAUGAUUACUUGUUGAUGAAGGUUGCAUUAAUAGCCAGUCUUGCCGGGGGAUGUAGAAGAGAUGAUUUGGCCAAACUACAAGAUUCUUGUUACCUUGUUAGCAUCCCAGAUUUGAAAACGUACAGUGAGCGAGCUUUCGUAGCUGUUGAUGAAGAAAAUGUAAAUUUGAGCGUUUCCUGGAAUAAAUCUCCUUGCGUGCUAAUAACGACUCGCAUAAAGAUGGUCCAUAUAUUUUAAAAAAGAAAAGAAAAACUACCAUCCCACACGUUGGUGUUCUUCGUCCACAGUUUUGGACCGAUUCCAUUCAUACUUGCGUGCUUUGAAUUACUGAGUUCACAGGAAUAUCAAUAUUUUGUGUUUUCAGCCGACAGUUUUCUUAUUAUUUUGUUACGAAUUACGACAAAAAUACAAUAUAACAGAACAGGAUCUUUAUUUGGAAUCGAUCAUGUUCACACUUAUAGUGGAGAGGAUAUUACUAAACUGAAAAGAACUACUACGUUGGAAGAUAAAAAUAAGCACCGCCGAUAUAACAAAAAAAAAUCAUCAGUAACAUUCUUGCAUAGCUGGUACAUCAUGUUCUGUCGACUUAAUGGUACAAAUUGUAUAAUAAAUGCAGAUGUCAAUAAUUAGAUAAAGCUAAUGUCGCAACAAAUUAAUUUAAAUAGUCAAUUUAUAUUGGUGGGCUAGUCUGGGAAAAAUCCAUUUCCUGCAAAUAGCUCGAUUAGUUUGUUAUUAUCUCACGCCUCAUCUGAAUAAACUUGUGAUUUGUUUUUGCAUUGUAAAUUUCAAAAUUAUAUGUUAUCCCAUUAAAAAACUGAUGACGUAAUCUCAAUAAAAUUUAGAUAAAUGUAGAUUGGAGGAAACUGUGAUGCACAAUGGAUAGGUUGUGCGGUCAGAAGUUAGGAAAUUAAAUAAAUUAUUAUUAUAUAAAAUGCCUAUGAUAUUAUAAAUACAAAAAUGGUGUUCCUUGUUUUUUAAGUAUUACAAAAUAAAAAUUCGUUUCACAAAAAAAUACAAGUAUUCAGUAAUGUCAGGACAAAUCGUAGUCCGAUGAAGUUAAGCAGUUAUUGAAAACUGAAGAAUGAAUUAAAACUGAGUUUUUUCCAAAAUAUAAUAGCUCAAUGAUCCCUCUCCAUCUAUUUUUGGGCCCACGUUCAUCAACCCACCACAUCGCCUCCCCAACAAUCGCCGUUCUCUGAAACCACGAACUGCAAAGUAAAUAUUUAUCCAACAUUAAUGAUUAUUUUCAACAUAAAAAUCAUGUGAACGUAGUGACACGAAAAUCCUACACGCGCAUUCUCUGGCGAACAAUCGGCGUGAAAAUAGAGCAGUUUCUUGGCAAAUUUUUCUAACGUUCGCACACCUACCCACAACUCUUAUCUCCCUAUGACCUCGAAAUUUGCAUGAUGCAUACGAUUUAACCUCGCUCACAAAAUUCUAUGAUUCAUUCAUAGUUACGAAAAUCGCGCACAGAUUGAUCUAGAACUUUUGUCGUUUCACGUUGGCAAACCUGUCACAUAUAACUUAGCUCGUUCGGUUGCGCAGCGAGCGUAAAAAUUUCGCAACACUAAAUACGGUACCGAGAUUAGUGUAAUGACUUGUUAUAGUCUUGGAAACAAAGAAACACAUUAGAAAUUUCAACUGAUAAAUCACAAAUCCAGUUGGUAUUUUUAUUGCAGCUGGUCGACUUGCGGAGUGGGCGUAAUAUCUUUAGGAAUGCGCUAUAGAUAUGCAAGAUGCAAUAAAUUGCAAUAAAAACUUGCCGCAAUGAAUCAUUCAGCGUCUUUGUUUGUCCAAACUGCAUUUUUGUCUAGACUAUGGGGGCGUUUUUUAACAUUUACUGUCAAGUAAAUAACAAAACCAUAAAAAUAAACUAGCACUCCGACGAUUUACCGGGAAUAUAGUUUUUUUAUGAUCAGCCUGAAAGGUUGGCACCCCCGACAAUCGACCGUUCUUCACAGACGCACAGGUUAUUUACACGUGCUCUUUAU